UGGCGGACGGGUGAGUAACGCGUGGGUAACCUGCCUCAUACAGGGGGAUAACAGUUGGAAACGGCUGCUAAUACCGCAUAAGCGCACAGUACCGCAUGGUACGGUGUGAAAAACUCCGGUGGUAUGAGAUGGACCCGCGUUGGAUUAGCUAGUUGGUGGGGUAACGGCCCACCAAGGCGACGAUCCAUAGCCGGCCUGAGAGGGUGAACGGCCACAUUGGGACUGAGACACGGCCCAG
rnacentral:rRNA from 1 species